rnacentral:rRNA from 1 species
GAUGAACGCUAGCGGCAGGCCUAACACAUGCAAGUCGAGGGGUAGAGUUCUUCGGGACUUGAGACCGGCGCACGGGUGCGUAACGCGUAUGCAAUCUACCUUAUACAGGGGAAUAGCCCAGAGAAAUUUGGAUUAAUGCCCCAUAGUGUUAUCGAAUCGCAUGGUUUGAUAACUAAAGUUCCAACGGUAUAAGAUGAGCAUGUGUCCCAUUAGUUAGUUGGUAAGGUAACGGCUUACCAAGACAAUGAUGGGUAGGGGUCCUGAGAGGGAGAUCCCCCACACUGGUACUGAGACACGGACCAGACUCCUACGGGAGGCAGCAGUGAGGAAUAUUGGACAAUGGGCGCAAGCCUGAUCCAGCCAUGCCGCGUGCAGGAAGAA